UGAGCAAUCUGCCCUUCUCUUCGGAAUAAGCGUUGGAAACGACGUCUAAUGCCGAAUACGACCUCCUUUCACAUGAUCGGAGGUGGAAAGCUCCGGCGGAGAAGGAUGAACUCGCGGCCUAUCAGCUAGUUGGUGUGGGUAAUGGCCCACCAAGGCGACGACGGGUAGCCGGCCUGAGAGGGUGACCGGCCACACUGGGACUGAGACACGGCCCAGACUCCUACGGGAGCAGCAGG
rnacentral:rRNA from 1 species